ACUAUUGUAAUCUUAGUCUGGAUACUAUAAAAAAUAGUAUGCGUAUUUUAAAAUAUGCUUACUAUAAAUUUGUAGUGUUCAGAUUAAGUUUAGAAUAGUUG
rnacentral:pre_miRNA from 1 species